AACGAACGCUGGCGGCGCGCCUAAUACAUGCAAGUCGAGCGAGAAAGCUCCUUCGGGAGUUAGUAAAGCGGCGAACGGGUGAGCAACACGUGAGAAUCUACCCUUUAGUGAAGAAUACCCUCGAGAAAUCGAGGCUAAUACUGCAUACGUCCCUUCGGGGAGAAAGAUGGCCUCUUUGCUAUCGCUAAAGGAUGAGCUUGCGUACUAUUAGCUAGUUGGCGGGGUAAAGGCCCACCAAGGCAAUGAUGGUUAACCGGCCUGAGAGGGUGUACGGUCACACUGGAACUUAGACACGGUCCAGACUCCUACGGGAGGCAGCAGUGAGGAAUCUUGCGCAAUGGGCGAAAGCCUGACGCAGCGACGCCGCGUGGAGGAUGACGGUUUUCGGAUUGUAAACUCCUGUUAAGCGGGAAGAAAGCCUUGUUUCUAAUACAAGCAAGGUAUGACGGUACCGCUAGAGAAAGCACCGGCUAACUUCGUGCCAGCAGCCGCGGUAAAGUCGUC
rnacentral:rRNA from 1 species